UACGUAGGGAGCAAGCGUUGUCCGGAAUCAUUGGGCGUAAAGCGCGCGUAGGCGGCCCGAUAAGUCCGCUGUGAAAGUCAACGGCUCAACUGUUGGAUGCCGGUGGAUACUGUCGGGCUAGAGUACGGAAGAGGCAAGUGGAAUUCCUGGUGUAGCGGUGAAAUGCGCAGAUAUCAGGAAGAACACCAAUGGCGAAAGCAGCUCUCUGGGACGGUACUGACGCUGAGACGCGAAAGCGUGGGGAGCGAACAGG
rnacentral:rRNA from 1 species